GGCAGGCACAGUGGCACAUGACUGUAAUCCCAUCUACUUGGGAGGCUGAAGUAGGAGGAUUACUUGGGCCAAGGAGUUCAAGGCCAGCCUUGGCAACAUAAUGACACCCAGUUUUUA
rnacentral:sRNA from 1 species